AGAGUUUGAUCAUGGCUCAGGAUAAACGCUGGCGGCGCACAUAAGACAUGCAAGUCGAACGGACUUAAUCGAUUCUUUUAGUUUCGAAGCGGUUAGUGGCGGACUGGUGAGUAACGCGUGAGCAACCUGCCUAUCAGAGGGGAAUAACAGUGAGAAAUCAUUGCUAAUACCGCAUAAGCUAGUAGUAUCGCAUGAUACAGCUAGAAAAGGAGCAAUCCGCUGAUAGAUGGGCUCGCGUCUGAUUAGCUAGUUGGUGGGGCAAUGGCCUACCAAGGCGACGAUCAGUAGCCGGACUGAGAGGUUGAACGGCCACAUUGGGACUGAGAUACGGCCCAGACUCCUACGGGAGGCAGCAGUCGGGAAUAUUGCGCAAUGGAGGAAACUCUGACGCAGUGACGCCGCGUAUAGGAAGAGGGUUUUCGGAUUGUAAACUAUUGUCAUCAGGGAAGAUAAAAGACAGUACCUGAGGAGGAAGCUCCGGCUAACUAUGUGCCAGCAGCCGCGGUAAUACAUAGGGAGCAAGCGUUAUCCGGAUUUAUUGGGUGUAAAGGGUGCGUAGACGGGAGAGCAAGUUGGUUGUGAAAUCCCUCGGCUUAACUGAGGAACUGCAACCAAAACUGUCCUUCUUGAGUGUCGGAGAGGAAAGUGGAAUUCCUAGUGUAGCGGUGAAAUGCGUAGAUAUUAGGAGGAACACCAGUGGCGAAGGCGACUUUCUGGACGACAACUGACGUUGAGCGUCAGCAGGUGUGCAACGCAAACAGGAUUAGAUACCCUGGUAGUCCACACUGUAAACGAUGGAU
rnacentral:rRNA from 1 species